rnacentral:rRNA from 1 species
UACGGGGGGUGCAAGCGUUGUUCGGAAUUAUUGGGCGUAAAGCGCGUGUAGGCGGUUUGUUAAGUCUGUUGUGAAAGCCCUGGGCUCAACCCAGGAAGUGCACUGGAUACUGGCAGACUUGAAUACGGGAGAGGGUAGUGGAAUUCCUGGUGUAGGAGUGAAAUCCGUAGAUAUCAGGAGGAACACCGGUGGCGAAGGCGGCUACCUGGACCGGAUAUUGACGCUGAGGCACGAAAGCGUGGGGAGCAAACAGG